AUAUGAGCUGCAGCUCCUGUGUCUGGUGUCAGCCCUCCACGGCAGAAUCCUCCAAUUCAGACCCUACAUCUUCAUGGCUGUGGAGCAGCAGAGUCCUGCAGCAGGGUGGUCGAUGGUAAAGAGAAAAGGAUGCCUGGCACAACAGCCUCCCUAAACCUGCUGCAUUUUGGGAUUGAUGGUGGACAGAGUUUAUUUAACUGACAAAACCACUUUAAAGUCUUCUUCCACCACGAUAAUUUUCCAGGCCAGUUUCUCCUUGAAUGUAACACUGUCACCUUGGCUUUGACAACUGAGCUUUGACUCUUCCCAGGGCAUGUGCUAUAGACGUUAAGGCAUUUGGAUUUGCCUUCCUCAUCAGCAUGUUUACCUACAAGCAGCAUCUCAUGUGUGAGGCUACUAAGCUUGUUCUGUAAUAGGAGCCACACAAUUUCCCCACCAGGACUUCAGGCUUCACAGCUCAACACUCCAGUUUCUUCUCAGCUCCUGUUCUAAGGAAUGGGAAUAACACUUUCUCCAAGGGAAUGAACUCACAAAUUCCUCAAAUCCAAGGCCAUAACCUUCUGUGAAGCAGGCAACACUGUUUGGACUUCUUUCUUCCCUUCCAACUCCAGUUCUAACAGAGGUAAGAUGACAUAUUUGAAACAUGGCUCUGCUUUGGGUGCUCCCUUUGUCCUGUGCUCGAAAAGGAAAGGUAUAAACAAACUCCAGAGCCAUUACAAAAGCUCAGAGAUGUUUAUUUUGGCACAGUUAAAAAAAAUACACAAACACAUUAAAUAUCACAAUUUGUUAAAGCCAAUUUCAUAUAUUACAUCUGGAAUCAUGGAGGAGGGAGACUGAAAACAACACUCAUUCUAUGCUUCCGCUGACAGUGCAAUGAAUAAAGGACCAUUUAGAGCAGAAGUCUGCUGUGACAAAGGGAGAAAACAAAAGCUGCAUAGAUCCUGGAAAAGAAAUAAAGACAGGAACACAUUCACAGCACUUAAAGAGCGUGAUGGGGGGGAUCAGCACACAAAGGAGAAGAGACACCACGGCUGAGGAUGACACUGAGGUUAGAAGCAACCAAAGUCACAAUGAGGAUAAAACAAUACUACAAUACAGACAAUCCCUCAGUAAUUCCUGUGCAGAAAGAACACAUCUUGCAGCUAAGCAAUACAUGGAUGCAUUAUCACUGAACAGACUUGCACGCAGAAACUCCCUGCUUACGCGAGAUGCUGUUUCUCAGCAUUACGUUAGUUGCAUAGUUACUCUUUUUCCUCAAAAGGUUAAGAAAAUACUCAGUAACUGAGGGCAGGAACAACCCACAACCACCAUUUGUAUAAAAAGCAGCCUGUUUUGCUAGAUAUCCCUGCUCGGCCCAGCUCUCAUUCCUAUCACUUUGAGUAAGCUUUUAACCUCAGAGAACAUGAAUACAGAUACAAAGGUCCACACUCUCCAUAUGGGUACAGCAUCAGCUUAUGACACUUACAUUCCCAUUUUCUAAAGAGAACUGACUGUUCCACUUCCCAACCAUUAUGUUCAUGGCAGUGGCUGAUGAUAAAGAACUUCAAAGUAAUUUAUUUUAGGAGUGCAGACCCGUAACUGAGCUCCGGCUAAACUAAGCCAGGCAAUAGCAACACACACAGGUAGGUGGGAACCCACAAGCUGCUCAGAAAUAAUUUCACAUAUGGUGACAGUGACGCUUUGACCAAUUUAGCAACCUCAAGUUUUCCAGUCAUCUCCCUGUCACCCACUCUCACUCCCGGACCAUCGUGCCAAUUUAAACGUUCACAUGGCAACAGUCAGCCAUGCCAGGAGCCGAUUUGAUGACAGGUAGCCUAGACUAGCCAAGAUUUUAAAGCUACUUCCAUUUCCACGGCCACUACUUGGCUGGCAUUAGAUGGGCAAGAGGGUGCACCUGAGCCCACGGGCUUCUUGGGCUGGUUCUUUUAGCGAGGACUCUGCCCUAGGGUGCUGGCCUGCACAUUCAUAAGAGGCUUGACAAAAGAAACCUUUUAUCGCAUCAAUGGACAUUCACCUGACCUCUCCAGUUCAUCUCAACACUCACUCACACACCUAACAGAUGCACAGAGACCCUGCAGAAAAUUCAGUUUCCUUUUACCUGCUGCGUAGAAGGAGCAGGACAGAUGUAACAGCAUAUCAACCACAAAGCCAAAGCAAAUGGUUCUUCAUUCAAGGCCUGAGCAGAAGCGAGCUGAAAAGCAUCCAAAGCAAAUGAAUCUGUUGGGAUCCGACCCCUAGCAGCCAGCUUUCUGAAUGAUGGAUCUGUAAUUAGAAUCAAAAACUAGGGUCAGCUACAUCAGAAGCUGAAGAGGAUGUUUGAGGAGGUGUUUCUGUGUUUCUUUUUAAAUAUUACAAUUUAAGUAGUUACAUUGUCCUAUAACAAUAAAGCAGUGGCACUUAGUGUUUGCUGUUACAAACGGGUCCUUCACACAACUCCGUAUCCUUGGUUUCCCUCAGUCUUUUGUGUUGGCACACAGCAAUGAGACUUACUUUCCACUCUGAGGACACGGAACACUCCACGACACAGGAAGAACUCGCCAAAACUGAAAGUGUACCAAAGAAAGACAGAUUCUUUCAAGAUUAAACGUGGCCUCUGCAGAAAACAAAGGAAACCACAGAGCUGGAAUAGUGCAUUUCGAGAUCACCAAAGCAGUUCACAGAACUGGAUGAAGCCUGCCAUCAUCAUCUUUGCGCGAGUUCAGUUCUCUGUUAACAUUUGGCACUAACUCUUUGACACAGUCAUUUGGCUGCCAUUUAAGUCAGCUGCUCGUUGCCUGGCACUUCCCGUGGAGACAUAAAAAGUUUCUUCCACGCUGCAUACAGCUACAGAGACCUCAGUCAGGAAUGAAGGCUACACGUUGCUGACCCUGGUUUCAGAAGAUGAUAUCAUAGCCGCAGAGGCAGAUGUCACUAGUGAUCGUUCUCGUCUGACAUAUCGCGGCUUCCGAACUGAAACAGUGGGCAGAGAAACAUCGUUAGCACCUGCUGCAGAAGCGUGCCUUUGUCAUUCAUUCACAGCAAUGCAUGCCAUCCAACCAACCCCAAGCAGCACAUAGAGUCCACACACAAUGCAUGUGUAACAUACUGUCCCAUUUAAUAUGUUUUGAAAAAGUCAUAUUCAGACACUUCAAGCUUUAUUAGGAUCUCACUGGCUCAGUAAUCACAUAAGAACAGUCAGAAGUAGCACAAAUUUGGAUGCCCACAAAGAAAUAAGUUUGGUCAUGGACUGCAAAAAUUUGGUCUAAACCGGUGCAUUACACUGUGGAUUUUCACUUGUUUCAAAAAACUGAUGUGCUUUAGAUCAGCGAGCCUGAAAAUCGGCCAGCCUGGCAAUAGAAACAAAACCCCAACCCUGAAACUGGGCCCCAGACCACGCUAUUCUUCAAGACCCCUUUCUUUAAUCUACUUUCCUCUCUGUUAGAAUAAAAACAGAUCUUAAAAUUC